rnacentral:rRNA from 1 species
CCUACGGGAGGCAGCAGUGGGGAAUAUUGCACAAUGGGGGAAACCCUGAUGCAGCGACGCCGCGUGAGUGAAGAAGUAUUUCGGUAUGUAAAGCUCUAUCAGUAGGGAAGAAAAUGACGGCACCUGAUUAAGAAGCCCCGGCUAACUACGUGCCAGCAGCCGCGGUUAUACGUAGGGGGCAAGCGUUAUCCGGAUUUACUGGGUGUAAGGGGAGCGUAGAGGGCAGCACAAGUCUGGAGUGAAAUGCCGGGGCUUAACCCCGGAACUGCAUUGGAAACUGUGCAGCUAGAGUGCAGGAGAGGUAAGUGGAAUUCCUAGUGUAGCGGUGAAAUGCGUAGAUAUUAGGAGGAACACCAGUGGCGAAGGCAGCUUACUGAACUGUAACUGACAUUGAGGCUCGAAAGCGUGGGGAGCAAACAGGAUUAGAUACCCCAGUAGUC